rnacentral:rRNA from 1 species
CUCGUAGGUGGCCAACUAAGUCAGACGUGAAAUCCCCAGGCUUAACCUGGGAACUGCGUCUGAUACUGGAUGGCUUGAAUUCGGGAGAGGGAUGCAGAAUUCCAGGUGUAGCGGUGAAAUGCGUAGAUAUCUGGAGGAAUACCGGUGGCGAAGGCGGCAUCCUGGACCGAGAUUGACACUGAUGAGCGAAAGCCCAGGGGAGCAAACG